AGGGAUAAGAAAAUCCCAGACUCAUUAGCACCUUGCCCCCUUUCCUUCUCACCAAAGCAGUUUGGAAUGAAACAGGGGAACGUCUUUGAUCCACUCCAAACCCAAACAGAAACAAAGUUUGGAAAAUGUUUGGAUACUAAGCCACUGAACCAAGAGAUUCUCUGGCUUUAAAGGCUCUGCGACAGGGAGGAGCAAGUGCAUUGAUUGGCAGCACUCAUCGCUUUCACUUCUGUUGCUAUUGUCAAGGAAGCACAAGCAUUACUGAGAGCUAGCUGUAUUUUCCACGAGCUCCAGUCACUGAGUGUGAUAGAGUCAGUGCCAAAAGCAGGUAUCACAAGGGAUUUGUUACACUUCUGUGAAUUUUCCCUGGGAGGGGAGGAAAGGAAGAGAGGCAAAAACGUUACAAGGAAUGAAGCCAUAAGCUGAGAGUUCUUCGGAAUUGUUCCUACACAAGAGACGGAUGAACCACAGAACGCUCUGUGUACAAAGUGCAAAG